GAAAAAAAAAAAAAAAGAAAUGCCCGAUCUCAUCUGAACUGGGAAGUAAAGCAGGGUCGGGCCUGGUUAGUACUUGGAUGGGAGACCGCCUGGGAAUACCAGGUGCUGUAAGCU
rnacentral:rRNA from 1 species